rnacentral:rRNA from 1 species
GGAGGAAAGUAGGGGAUCGCAAGACCUUGCGCUUCUAGAGCGGCCGAUGUCUGAUUAGCUUGUUGGUGAGGUAAAGGCUUACCAAGGCUUCGAUCAGUAGCUGGUCUGAGAGGACGACCAGCCACACUGGGACUGAGACACGGCCCAGACUCCUACGGGAGGCAGCAGUGGGGAAUUUUGGACAAUGGGGGCAACCCUGAUCCAGCCAUGCCGCGUGAGUGAAGAAGGCCUUCGGGUUGUAAAGCUCUUUCAGCCGGAACGAAACGGUUACGGUUAAUACCCGUGACUACUGACGGUACCGGAAGAAGAAGCACCGGCUAACUACGUGCCAGCAGCCGCGGUAAUACGUAGGGUGCGGGCGUUAAUCGGAAUUACUGGGCGUAAAGCGUGCGCAGGCAGUUUUGUAAGUCAGAUGUGAAAUCCCCGGGCUUAACCUGGGAACUGCGUUUGAAACUACAAAGCUAG